UAUCAAAAACAUGUCCUUUAGUGUAUUUAUUUAAGGUUWGGCCUGCCCAAUGAUUUAUUUUAAUGGCUGCGGUAUUUUAACCGUACUAAGGUAGCAUAAUCAUUAGUCUUUUAAUUGAAGGCUGGAAUGAAAGGUUGGAUGAAACAUUAACUUUCUUAGAUAUAAGAGGAAGAAUUUAAUUUUUUAGUUAAAAAGCUAAAAUUUUUUUAUAGGACGAGAAGACCCUAUAGAUUUUUAUAAAUGUAUAUUUGAUUGAAUUGGUUAUUUAAAUAUUUGAAUAGUAAAUUUAUUUAAUUGGGGUGAUUUUAGAAUUUAUUAAGCUUCUAAUUUUUUGAUUUCAUUGAUUUAUGUUUUUUUGAUCCAUUAUUAAUGAUUAAAAGAUUAAAUUACCUUAGGGAUAACAGCGUAAUUUUUCCGGAAAGUUCAUAUUAAUGGGGGAGUUUGCGACCUCGAUGUUGGAUUAAAAUAAGUAGGGGGUGCAGUAGCCCCUUUACUAGGUCUGUUCGACCUUUAAUUUUUUACAUGAUCUGAGUUCA
rnacentral:rRNA from 1 species